rnacentral:rRNA from 1 species
CCCCUAGUAACUGCGAGUGAAGCGGGAAGAGCUCAAAUUUAAAAUCUGACAGCCUUUGGCUGUCCGAGUUGUAAUCUAGAGAAGUGUUAUCCGCGUGGACCGUGUACAAGUUCCUGGAAUGGAACAUCAUAGAGGGUGAGAAUCCCGUCUUUGACACGGACUUCCAGGGCUUUUGUGAUACGCUCUCAAAGAGUCGAGUUGUUUGGGAAUGCAGCUCUAAAUGGGUGGUAAAUUCCAUCUAAAGCUAAAUAUUGGCGAGAGACCGAUAGCGAACAAGUACCGUGAGGGAAAGAUGAAAAGAACUUUGGAAAGAGAGUUAAACAGUACGUGAAAUUGUUGAAAGGGAAACGCUUGAAGUCAGUCGCAUUGACUAGGGAUCAACGUUGCUUUUUUGCUUGGUGUACUUCCUAGUUGAUGGGCCAGCAUCAAUUUUGACCAGUGGAUAAAGGUCAAAGGAAUGUGGCAUCUCUGGAUGUGUUAUAGCCUUUGAUUGUAUACAUUGGUUGGGAUUGAGGAACUCAGCACGCCGCAAGGCCGGGUUUCGACCACGAUCGUGGUUAGGAUGCUGGCAUAAUGGCUUUAAUCGACCCGUCUUGAAACACGGACCAAGGAGUCUAACAUGCCUGCGAGUAUUUGGGUGGCAAACCCAUGUGCGUAAUGAAAGUGAAGAUCAGGAUCUCUGUCAUGGAGAGCACUGAUGCCCGGACCAGACCUUUUGUGACGGAUCUGCGGUAGAGCAUGCAUGUUGGGACCCGAAAGAUGGUGAACUAUGCCUGAAUAGGGUGAAGCCAGAGGAAACUCUGUGGAGGCUCGUAGCGAUUCUGACGUGCAAAUCGAUCGUCAA